rnacentral:rRNA from 1 species
ACAGGAGGGCGACCUUGAGCAAAUCCCAAAAAUAAACGUCCCAGUUCGGAUUGUAGCCUGCAACCCGGCUACAUGAAGCUGGAAUCGCUAGUAAUCGCAGAUCAGAAUGCUGCGGUGAAUACGUUCCCGGGUCUUGUACACACCGCCCGUCACACCAUGAGAGUUGGGGAUACCCGAAGCCUGUGAGCUAACUUUUAGAGGCAGCAGUCGAAGGUAGAAUCAAUGAUUGGGGUGAAGUCGUAACAAGGUAUC